GCGUUCUUAGCUCCAUCGGCAGAGCAUCAGACUAUUGAUCUGAGGGUGUCAUGGAUUCGAGUCCCACAGGAGGCG
rfam:Ascaris lumbricoides genome assembly, scaffold: ALTE_scaffold0000350